rnacentral:tRNA from 1 species
UACUCAAAAGUGUUUUUAGCACAAAAGAUUUUGAUUCUUUUAGAUUCGGUGCAAAUCCGUUUUGUGUAA